GGAUGUGGCUCAAGUGGUAGUGCGCUCGCCUGGCAUGCGUGAACCACUGGGUUCGAACCUCAGCACCA
rnacentral:tRNA from 1 species